rnacentral:rRNA from 1 species
AUGUGUGCGUGUGUGCGUUGUUUGGAUGAUUGUUGGUUGUAUCCAAGAGAGUUUCAUGAUAACGUGUGCGUCAUGGCUUCGCUAAGGUUUCCAGGCCCAGGCCAUCAGGAUGCGACUCCCCCGCCGCCACCAUCGCCGGACGCCGCUCCGGCAAAGUGUGGCCCCCUCUCCGUGCCCCUGCCCACACGGGAUGCCGGAUCAGCAGCGGCCUCGUCCGCCUUGCGACCGCGUGGACUCCCAGGUCCCGUCGAUCUUGCCGUAUCGGACAUGGAAGGAGUGACCAGGAGUCCCGGAACCACACAUCGGCAAGGGCUAGGGUUUCCUAGAUCCCGCCACAAGGAAACGUUGGACCCGGCCCCCUUAAAGCCUCGCCCCGGGGCGCGCCAGAACCAUAAACCACGUGAACCGUCAGAUCGAUCUUGGAAGCUGAAGGAGGAGGAUCUUGAAUGGUUCGGCCGGCGCCCCGGCCAGAAAAGAUUCCCUUUCAACUAUUCAUACCAGGGCGAUAAUAAGUAUCUCGUCCACUUUGGAUGUGAGGCGGACAUGUUGCGUAUUCUGCGGGGAGGGCCAUGGCAGUAA